rnacentral:lncRNA from 1 species
UGUCCCUGUGGUCCCAGUGGUCCCGGGGAUGUGUCCCGGUGGUCCCGGGGUGUGUCCCGGCGGUCCCGGGGGUGUGUCCCGCCCGGUGCCCGGGGCGGUCCGGCCGUGCCGCUGCCCGCGCUGUCCCCGCCCCGGCCCGGCCGGUGCCGCCCAUUUCCGCCGGGCGGAGCCGCCCCUCGGCCCCGCAGCGGCCCCGCCGCCAGCGCCCGCCCGGCCCGGCCCGGCCCCGGCCCCGCUCGCUCCGGUGCAGCCCCGCCAUGGCGGGCGGCCCGGCCGCGCUCGCCCUCGGGGGAUGGAUGCCCACCCAGAACCGGAAUGCCAAGGGAUGGACACCCACAGGGAUGGAUGCCCACUGAUCCUACUGGAAUGCCAGGGGAGGGAUGCCCACUCAGAACUGGAAUGCCAAGGGAUGGAUGCCCACUCAUUCCACUGGAAUGCCAGGCAAUGGAUGCCCACAGGGAUGGAUGCCCACCGAUCCCACCAGGAUGCCCACAGGGAAUUCCUGCGUUUUCCUUCAAAAUCCUGGAGAUUUUUCCUUAAAAAUCUUUUUCCUUAA